rnacentral:rRNA from 1 species
GACGAACGCUGGCGGCGUGCCUAAUACAUGCAAGUUGAGCGAUGAAGAUUGGUGCUUGCCCCAAUUUGAAGAGCAGCGAACGGGUGAGUAACGCGUGGGGAAUCUGCCUUUGAGCGGGGGACAACAUUUGGAAACGAAUGCUAAUACCGCAUAACAACUUUAAACAUAAGUUUUAAGUUUGAAAGAUGCAAUUGCAUCACUCAAAGAUGAUCCCGCGUUGUAUUAGCUAGUUGGUGAGGUAAAGGCUCACCAAGGCGAUGAUACAUAGCCGACCUGAGAGGGGGAUCGGCCACAUUGGGACUGAGACACGGCCCAAACUCCUACGGGAGGCAGCAGUAGGGAAUCUUCGGCAAUGGACGAAAGUCUGACCGAGCAACGCCGGGUGAGGGAAGGAGGUUUUCGGAUCGUAAAACUCUGUUGGUAGAGAAGAACGUUGGUGAGAGUGGAAAGCUCAUCAAGUGACGGUAACUACCCAGAAAGGGACGGCUAACUACGUG